rnacentral:miRNA from 1 species
UAGAGUUGUCCUAAGUCAAACUUU